rnacentral:rRNA from 1 species
UACGAAGGGUGCAAGCGUUACUCGGAAUUACUGGGCGUAAAGGGUGCGUAGGUGGUUUGUUAAGUCUGCUGUGAAAUCCCCGGGCUCAACCUGGGAAUGGCAGUGGAUACUGGCAAGCUAGAGUGCGGUAGAGGGUAGUGGAAUUCCCGGUGUAGCAGUGAAAUGCAUAGAGAUCCGGAGGAACACCGACGGCGCAGGCAGCGUCCUGGCCGCUUGCUGACACUGAGGCACGAAAGCUGGGGGAGCAAACAGG